rnacentral:rRNA from 1 species
UACAGAGGGCUCAAGCGUUGUUCGGAUUCAUUGGGCGUAAAGGGUGCGUAGGUGGCGCUGUAAGUCGGGUGUGAAAUUUCGGAGCUUAACUCCGAAACUGCAUUCGAUACUGCCGUGCUUGAGGACUGGAGAGGAGACUGGAAUUCAUGGUGUAGCAGUGAAAUGCGUAGAGAUCAUGAGGAAGACCAGUGGCGAAGGCGGGUCUCUGGACAGUUCCUGACACUGAGGCACGAAGGCCAGGGGAGCAAACGGG